AUUGAACGCUGGCGGUAGGCCUAACACAUGCAAGUCGAGCGAGCGGCGGACGGGUGAGUAAUGUAUGGGGACUGCCCGAUAGAGGGGGAUAACUACUGGAAACGGUGGCUAAUACCGCAUUCUGUAGGAUAACCCAUAUGGGAUUAGCGAGUAGGUAAGGUAAUGGCUUACCUAGGCGACGAUCCCUAGCUGGUCUGAGAGGAUGAUCAGCAACAAUGGGACUGGUGCACGGCCCAGACUCCUACGGGGGCAGCAGUGGGGAAUAUUGCACAAUGGGCGCAAGCCUGAUGCAGCCAUGCCGCGUGUAUGAAGAGGGCCCUAGGGUUUUAAGGUACUUUCAGUCGGGAGGCGUUGCCGACAGAAGAAGCACCGGCUAACUCCGUGCCAGCAGCCGCGGUAAUAC
rnacentral:rRNA from 1 species